rnacentral:rRNA from 1 species
UACGGAGGGAGCUAGCGUUGUCCGGAUUUAUUGGGCGUAAAGAGCGUGUAGGCGGCCAGACAGGUCCGUUGUGAAAACUCGAGGCUCAACCUCGAGACGCCGAUGGAAACCGUCUGGCUAGAGUCCGGAAGAGGAGAGUGGAAUUCCUGGUGUAGCGGUGAAAUGCGCAGAUAUCAGGAAGAACACCCGUGGCUAAGGCGGCUCUCUAGUACGGUACUGACGCUGAGACGCGAAAGCGUGGGGAGCAAACAGG